rnacentral:lncRNA from 1 species
CGAGUUGAAGCUCCCUGCUCUGCGUGUCCGGAUGAAAGCCAGCACAGAUCACGCACACCAAGCUUCUCUCCGUUCAGCCUCCGCAUUCGUGGAACAGCAUCCCGCGUCCAAGGAUCAAGGAGCAGAAGUUAUCACCUUUAUCCCCGUUCCAUCCUUAUCUUGCAACAGGGGAGGAGAGAGGGCUAGUGAAGGCUAUAAAAGGAGGAGGAGAUGGA